CUCUGUCACUCUUCACUCUCCCUUAUCCUACCAAAUUCUAUAUGUUGCAAAAAGGAAAAAUAAAUAAAAAAUACGUAAAAUUUAAAUAAAAAAGAGACAACAAAAUAAAAUAAAAUAAAACCUAGACUGUGUUCAAAGUGCUGAUUUCUAUAGGUGGUUAAUUAAUGUAUGUGAUGAUCAUAUGGAUUGAAAUAUGUCUGCUUUAUGUACUGACCANAAAAAAAAAAAAAAAAAAAAGAAAAAAUACAAAGUUCAGUGCCUGGAUGUUUAUGAACUAUUCGAUGACUGUGUAGAGCAUGAUCAUUUUUAUACGAGGAGAUUUCUAAUAAAAGACCAUGGUUUUGCACUCGGCGUUUGCUGUCUCUUGGUGCCUGUUCAGUCCAGCCCCCAGGAGGUGACUUGGUUUCGGACAGCGGGGAAGGUUCUGGUGGCUGAGCGCUCCCAGGCAGGGCUCAGCACCCUUCCCCUCCAGGUGAGUCCUUUGUGUUUGCUCUUCCCCGAGGUGUGGGUUGAGGCUGGAGGAUGGCACGGUGCAAAGGAAGGGAUUUCCUCUUCUUUUCUCCCUUUAGAGGCAGGGCCAGCUCCACCAUCCUCAUCAAGACUCAUAUGGGUUAAUUAGGGAGUCACCAGCUAACGAGAGCAGCCCUGCCUGCUUACCCCAGGCUCCAGCCUGCCCCUUGGGACAGCACAGCCCGAUGCACAGGGUAGGUGGCUGUUCUCAGCCUUGCUUUUGCCUGUUUUGGGAGCUUUGGUGUGGUUGCUGGUGGUGUCUGUGUCCCUGUGCUGUGGAAAGACACUCAGAAAGGGGUGGCUGUGCUUGUUUACUGCAGUGUAAGGAGAGGUAGGUCCAAGCUCCUCUUUUCACUUGAGGGCAAAUGAGAGGUGGGAGGCAGGAAAAGGUGCUGCUGGCUCAGAGAGCUGGGCUGGCUCUGUUUUUUUUGAGCAGCUUGCUGGGUGCUCUGCAGCGACAUUGGAGCUGUUUGUGGUGUCCCAGCCUCUGAAGCAGCAAGGAUUUCUUCCCAGCUCUUUAUGUGUGUUCCUACCAGUGCAAAAUACCCAUGUAUUCCCUCUCUGAGCCCAGGAGAAGCUAUCCCACUGUUUUGCAUGUUUCUAGACCUAUUUGUGUAUUAACUGCAGCCCCACAGUCUGUGCCUCUGGCUGUGUGCCCCAGGGAGGGGAGGUCUUGGUGCCACUCCAAGUACUGCAGGGACCUUCAGCUAUCAAUCAGUGCCAGGGAACCAAGCCUGUCCCUGCUGAUGCAGGGAGGACAGAGCAGGGCUUGAAGGCAGGAGUUAAAGAAGAAAAAGAAAUAUAAUGAAACGCCUGAAACUUUCAUAAGAUCACACUUGUCAAAAGAGCUUCUCAGGAGGAAGAACUGCUCCAUUCCCACUGCGUUCAUCACUGUCGGAUCAGAUGUGAAAUGCCGCCUGGUUCACAGGGCUCCCAGAAAACCCAAGUUGAUGUCUCUGGUGCCAUUCCUAGCUUUGUUACUGCUCUGC
rnacentral:lncRNA from 1 species